UUGUGACCACAAAUACAGUUCCGUAUCACUUUUACUUAUAACGUUUUCUACAAAGACUGAAUGUUUGUGUUCAUAGUGACUUUUCUUACUUUAUUUCAUUUCCUAGUGUAUUAUUAUCAUCGUCGUCAUACAUCAUGUGGAAUUAUUGUGUAUAAGACCAAGACACGUGUCGUCUUCAAAUAAAUAACUAAAUUACGUUGCUUACGCACUGCCUUUUUAUGAAGCAUCCCAUGUCUCCAUCCACUGAGGAAGACUAUGAGGUGCGACUGAAAGCCCCAGGAAAAAGCUCCAUCUGUUAGCAUGGCACCAGUCCUGUACCACUGCAGCUGCAGGUUCAUACGAGCGCAGCAGGGAGUCAGGUUCAGGCACAAUAAAGCAACUAGGUACUACUGACUGUGCCCAUUCAAGACAGCCUCAGGAUAGAAACAAAUUGUAUGACCAUGAGUGCUGUGAUUUCCAUGCCUGUCUGAGCAGUGUUCCCUGUGACAGUGUGUGUUGGAGCCAUUACACCACUUUGUUUUGUUUAUAUAGGCUACCAUGUUGGUUAUGCUAAUUAAUCUGCGGUUUUAUGUUUGAGCACUAGGUGGAGCAUUGCCUUUGGGAAGGCAUAAAGGUAAUCAGCCACAGGUACACAGGUAUGUGGAAAAAGGGGAAAGCAUACAGCUUUUCACCGUGUCAGUGUGUGUCAUUGUUUGAUUUGUUUGUCAAGGAAAAUUAAUGGAACUAAACCAGAAAUUAAAUGAAAUGCACUGUAUUGCUUGUGCAACGGUGAGCAGGCUGUCAGGAAAAUGAAUGGGUCACAGCACCGAAAUGCAGACAGAUUGUGGACAUUGAUUAUUGGCACGCA